rnacentral:lncRNA from 10 species
CAGAAUAACUCUCUUCAAAUAUUUUACAGAGUUUGACUCUUUUUUGUCAACACUUUGAGCAUCCCCUUGACUGUGCUGUAACUGGAGAUGGACACCCGCUCGUCUUGGUUUCUUUUCUUCCAGGUUCUGAUUUUUAAUCUGCCCAAAUUGUAACUGGGACAUUUAUUGACAAAAAGAAAUUUGAACAUGUAACAGCCUUUUUUUUCCUUCUAAUCUUCCCCCAGAUAGACAUACUCAGUGAGCUCUCUUCCCAGUUUGAAGCAGGUCUGAGGUGGAGAAGUAGAGAAAAUCAAAGUUUUGACUAUUGCAUGGAAGUGGACAUCCUAAUUAUUGAAAUAAUACUGUUGUGGCCAGGGCUGAUGUUUAGCUGAGAUGUACUGGUGUGGUUGCACUGGUUAUUAAAAUAUUAAAAUACUUUAAUAUUGGUUGGUAAACAGUCCUGAUCCUAGGCCCCUUGAGGGCCUCCCCUGGGCCCUGGAAACCCUGUGGGCACUGCUAUUCCUCCUUCCCACCCCCUCCACACACUUCCUAUCCCUGAGACCAGUGUCCCCGGCGGUGAGGCUGAUGCUCCAGUGGGCUGUACCCAAUGUCUCUGGUUUUGCAGCCGGGCUUCCUGGGAUUGUCCUCAUGUGAUCCUUAUGGGAACAGCAACUUCCUCAAUUGUCACCUCUUUUAAAUGUCACCCAAGAUCAGUUAUGAACUGGCUCAAGUUUUAUGCAAAAGAGUCUCCCAAAAUCGGCCUCAAAAGCACUUUUGUUAGGACAUUUUUGAGAAAAAAAUAUAUGAUGCUUUAUGAUUUUAUUCUACUUUUUCAAUGUCACAUUUACAAAUGUUUAUAAUUAAGUUAAAAGGGUGAGGCAGAAAACCAGGCAACUCUGUACUGAUUUUUGU